GAAAAACCUUCUAGUCCAUAGCUCCUGAAGAAAAACGAGCUGAAGCGAAUAUGGAGAAACAGCUUCCUCCACGGAAAAUGCAGAGGCAUGCAACGCGGCGGAUGCAAGUUUGCUAAUUGAAAUUAUUCGCAAAGAUCUAGUAGAAUUAAAACUGGAGGUGCUGCGAAACGAUCCUUUUUUGACGCUAUACUCGGUUAAAACUAUAGACGCUUUGCACUUGAUGCCGGAACUGCCCACCCCGAGAGCAGAUGAGCGCUGGGGAAUGUUUUCAGCCACCUGGAGGAGGAAGUUCAGCGCGGAAGAAAUGUUACCAGACUUCGCCGAUCUGGUAUCUGGACUUUUUUGAUGAUCUCAUAGAGAUUGGGUGUGCAGAUGGGCGUUUAAAGUUCUGGGAGGGAACGACUGGUAACUUUUAGGAUAUAUAUGAAGCUGAAAACAACCGCAACAAUGGGGUAACUAACAUAAACCUCGCCGGUGACAAAGUGAUAGUUGCACGGUUGAGUGAACGAAUCGAUUUUCUGAGACUGGAAACGUACACGUAAGGUUUUCAGAUCGAUUGGGGAUUUACGUCUGCAUAUGGGCGAAGUAAGUUCUAUGUUUCAAGCAAUUUUUUAAGCUCACCUAGGGCGCAGACAGAUUUUACUUGUUCUUUUAAAAUACUGUAUAUUCUAAGUCAUUUAAUUUUCAGUCUGUAAUGAGUAUGUCAUCAAGUGCCUUAAUUCUUUUUCUUUUUAGCCCACGUACACAGCGGUUCGGCAGGAAGCAUUAGUUUAUUUCAGCAACUCGCCGGCUCAAAUCCGUCCACAGCGUUGCCAGCUCAACAUCACGCAUCCGAGGAGGAGCUUCGAUGUAUCCUGGAGUUUCACCAGCAGGGUCACCGGUGACAUGUUUGGAAGUGGCGGGCGGUACAGUCAUUACUGGCAGCCAGGGCCACACUGUUUACGUGUUCCGGCUUGAUAGCCACCUAUUGCAGUUCACCCUAAACGGCCAUUGCGGUCCUAUCACAUGUAUUUUCAUAGACCAGUGGCAGGCCGAGAUGGGCGCAUCUGGUUGCCAGGAUGGUGUGCUAUGUGUGUGGGACUUGAUACGGGGUGCCUGUAUGUACAAAAUUGAAGCCCAUGACGACAUGACGUCGCACUUGCCUGUUCCCCGAGUUACGCAAUAUCGCUCGGACUGAACGAACGAAUACGGUUUUGGGAUAGAUUUCAGGGUUAGCCGCUCAACACCAUGACCGUCAGUCAUGCAUAUUCAUCGCUUGUGAUGCUGACGCUUCUGAACGAAGCCAUUGCUAGCACGAGUUUUUGAUUUGGAAGGAUAGUUGCUGAGGACCAUUCUCACAAUAGUAUAAAAGUUCUAACCUCAAAAACAGACAACAAUAAAAUGUAUUUCUUUCAGAGUUUAUAAUAUCCAUUACAUGAUCAAAUGCGCUGAUGGGUUAGGCUUUGGAUUCGGCUAUAUUCCAUCGUCAUUGAAGCUAGAUCAUAGAAUCAUGUUAAUUUGACAGACUGCAAGUGUUAUUAGUAGCACAAACAGCCA